rnacentral:rRNA from 1 species
UACGUAGGGGGCAAGCGUUGUCCGGAAUCAUUGGGCGUAAAGCGCGCGUAGGCGGCCCGGUAAGUCCGCUGUAAAAGUCCAGGCUCAACCCUGGAACGCCGAUGGAUACUGUCGAGCUAGAGUCCGGAAGAGGCGAGUGGAAUUCCUGGUGUAGCGGUGAAAUGCGCAGAUAUCAAGGAGGAACACCAGCGGCGAAAGGCGGCGCUCUGGGCCGGAACUGACGCUGAGGAGCGAAAGCGUGGGGAGCAAACAGG